UACGUAGGGUGCAAGCGUUAAUCGGAAUUACUGGGCGUAAAGCGUGCGCAGGCGGUUAUGUAAGACAGUUGUGAAAUCCCCGGGCUCAACCUGGGAACUGCAUCUGUGACUGCAUAGCUAGAGUACGGUAGAGGGGGAUGGAAUUCCGCGUGUAGCAGUGAAAUGCGUAGAUAUGCGGAGGAACACCGAUGGCGAAGGCAAUCCCCUGGACCUGUACUGACGCUCAUGCACGAAAGCGUGGGGAGCGAACAGG
rnacentral:rRNA from 1 species